GUCAAAAUCCUGGGACUCCUACUGCUAGAGGGCGCCCUUUUAGCCGCCAUAUUAAGCACGGCUCUCCCUACCUGGCUUCAGUUACCGUUAGAGGAGGAGGAAGAAGGAGCAUCCUCGGCUGUCUACUACGGGCUGUUCCAGCAGUGUAGAUGGGACUGCACUACGUGGCGAGUUUUUGAAGAUGGUUUUGAGGAGCACUGGCUGCGAGCAUCCCAGGCGAUGAUGAUUCUCGCUUGUGUGGCGAUGGCAAUAAGUCUGCUUCUAGGACUUCUUUACGCCAUGAUUUUCAAGGAUACGAAGGCGAUACUUGUUGCAUCUGCGAUAACCGCCAUCGCCGGAGCGGGGUCCUGUGCCAUUGGGAUAAUAGUAUUUGUCGUAAAGAUGAAAGAAGUCACACAAUCUGAUUGGAAAUAUCACGCCAGCUUUGGAAUCGCCGUGGCUUCCGCCGUCAUUUCCGCUACCGUUGGUGUGCUUUUCCUCCUUAUAUGCAAACGUAAAUGAACUCAACCAGACAAUAUACGAGCAUGCCAUACCAUUUUACUCAUAAUUUAUUGGGCUUUGAUAAUAUUUACUACGAGUGUGCCUUUAUGUACAUAUUGUAUAUGUUAAUACAUUUCUGACAUUAUAACGUGAUACAAUUUGAGAACACUGUCCCUUUUUGUGCAACAGCAUCAUUAUACAGGUGUUACUUAGAUAUUAAAAUAAUUCAAACUAGGCACAGCGUUAUAUUAAAAUAAAUUGAACUGGGUGCACAGCUUGUAAUGUUGGUUGCUUUAAAAUGACACUAAUACUAAAGCUUAUUAAACAAAUUUUGGAAACUUUAAGUUUGUCUGAUGUUGGAGGUUAAACACGAGAUUUGAUUAUCAACGUGUUUAGAUUUACGUUCAGCGAAUCGCCAUCUACAGAAGCAUGAAUCAAUCCUUUUAAAAGCAAAUUGUUACUUAUUUAUAGCAAAGGCAUAAUUUCCGAACACUGAGUCAUACGUAAAACAAACGUAAUUCAAAAUUUAGGUCUACUUGUGUUUCAUUUAAAAGUGUCUAGCAUGUCGUUCAACUACGAACCGUGGCACAUGUCUUAAUAAUAAUGCCAAUACCUCAAGAACACAAAUAAAUCCAAUUCAUUAAACUGAUCUUUAACGUUUAAUCCAUUUAUGCCAAGUGGACUCUCCCAUCCUUCUUAAUUGGAUCAAUUUAUUUCAAAAACGAGGGAUGUCUAGUAUAUUUAUUUCUAUAUUUAGAAUAUAACUUACAAAAAUUCCUUUAAUCAAACAGCACAGACCC